UACGUAGGGGGCAAGCGUUGUCCGGAUUCAUUGGGCGUAAAGAGCUCGUAGGCGGCUUGGCAAGUCGGGUGUGAAAACUCCAGGCUCAACCUGGAGACGCCACCCGAUACUGCCAUGGCUAGAGUCCGGUAGGGGACCACGGAAUUCCUGGUGUAGCGGUGAAAUGCGCAGAUAUCAGGAGGAACACCGGUGGCGAAGGCGGUGGUCUGGGCCGGAACUGACGCUGAGGAGCGAAAGCGUGGGGAGCAAACAGG
rnacentral:rRNA from 1 species